rnacentral:rRNA from 1 species
AUGGAACAUAAUACUUUGAGGGGCUUGUUCGGGGUAUCUUCACCCCGACCAGUAGAGAAAAGAGUUGCUCCUCAACCUAUUGAACCUACUGAAAAUCUUUACUUUGAAAUUUCUUCGGGUAUGAUAGAGAAACUGCUAGCUAAUCCUUUUACAGGAGAUGGAACAUUACAUCUCGAUUUGCACCUAAUCUAUGUGGAUGAAGUUUGUGGAUUAUUUAAGCUUGCAGGUAUGCCCGGGGAUGUUAUCAAGAAGAAGGUAUUCCCUUUAUCUUUGAAGGGAAAGGCAUUGACAUGGUUUAGGCUAUGUGAUGAUAUGGGAUCAUGGAACUACAACCGAUUGAAAUUGGAAUUUCAUCAGAAGUUUUAUCCUAUGCAUCUUGUUCAUCGUGAUCGUAAUUAUAUAUAUAAUUUUUGGCCUCGCGAAGGAGAAAUCAUCGCUCAAGCUUGGGGUAGGCUUAAGUCAAUGUUGUAUUCAUGCCCCAAUCAUGAGCUCUCAAGAGAAAUUAUUAUUCAAAAAAUUUAUGCUCGGCUUUCUCUCAACAAUCGCUCCAUGCUCGAUACUUCUUGUACUGGAUCUUUUAUGAUGAAAACUAUUGAAUUCAAAUGGGAUUUAUUGGAAAGAAUUAAACUCAUCUCUGAAGAUUGGGAUCUCGACAAAGGUAAGGAGUCAGGUAUAACACCUAAGUUUGAUUGUGUUAAAUCUUUUAUGGAUACCGAUGUUUUCCGUGAAUUUAGCACUAAAUAUGGACUUGACUCUGAGAUAGUAGCUUCUUUCUGUGAAUCCUUUGAUACUCAUGUUGAUCUCCCUAAGGAGAAGUGGUUUAAAUAUAAUCCUCCCAUUGAAGUAGAAGUAGUUGCACCUAUUAAAGUUGAAGAAAAGACUAUCACUUAUAAUGUUGAUCCUAUUGUUCCUACUGCUUAUAUUGAGAAACCACCUUUCCCUGUUAGAAUAAAGGAUCAUGCUAAAGCUUCAACUGUGGUUCGUAAGAGUAAUACUAGAAAACCUACACCCCCUGAGCAAAUUAAAGUUGAACCUAGUAUUGCUAUGGUUAAAGAUCUUUUGGCUGAUAAUAUUGAUGGGCACGUUAUUUACUUCUGUGAUGAAGCUGCUAGAAUUGCUAGACCUGAUACUAAAAAUAAACAUAAACCUGUUGUAGGCAUGCCUGUUAUUUCUAUUAAAAUAGGAGAUCAUUGUUAUCAUGGCUUAUGUGAUAUGGGUGCUAGUGCAAGUGCAAUACCUCAUUCCUUAUACAAAGAAAGUAUGCAUGAUAUUGCACCUGCUGAGAUAGAGGAAAUUGAUGUUACAAUUAAACUUGCCAAUAGAGACACUAUUUCACUAGUUGGGAUUGUUAGAGAUGUUGAAGUCUUGUGUGGAAAAGUUAAAUAUCCUGCUGAUUUUCUUGUUCUUGGUUCCCCACAAGAUAGCUUUUGUCCCAUCAUAUUUGGUAGACCCUUCUUGAAUACUGUUAAUGCUAGGAUAGACUGCAAAAAGUAUGUUGUUACUAUUGGUUUGGGGGAUAUGUCUCAUGAGUUUAAUUUUGCUAGAUUUCGUAGACAACCCCAUGAUAAAGAAUUACCUAGUAAAGAUGGAAUUAUUGGUCUUGCCUCUAUUGCCGUGCCUCCUAAUGAUCCUUUAGAACAAUAUUUGCUAGACCAUGAAAAUGAUAUGUUUAUGAAUGAAAGAAGGGAAAUAGAUGAAGUAUUCUUUAAACAAGGACCUAUCUUGAAACACAACUUGCCUGUUGAAAUCCUAGGGGAUCCUCCUCCAGAGCAUGAAGAAAAGAAAUUAUUGAAAACUCUCAAGAAGCACCGUGCUGCUAUUGGAUAUACUCUUGAUGAUCUUAAGGGCAUUAGUCCCACUCUAUGUCAGCACAAAAUAAAAUUGGAGAAAGACGCUAAACCGGUUGUUGAUCACCAACAACGAUUAAAUCCUAAGAUGAAACAAGUGGUAAGAAAAGAAAUACUAAAGCUUCUGGAGGUAGGUAUAAUUUACCUUGUUGCUGAUAGUCAGUGGGUAAGUCCUGUCCAUUGUGUCCCCAAGAAGGGAGGUAUUACUGUUAUUCCUAAUGAUAAAGAUGAAUUGAUCCCACAAAGAAUUGUUACAGGUUAUAGAAUGGUAAUUGAUUUCCGUAAACUAAAUAAAGCUACUAAAAAAGAUCAUUACCCUUUACCUUUUAUUGAUCAAAUGCUAGAAAGAUUAUCCAAACAUACACAUUUUUGCUUUCUAGAUGGUUAUUCUGGUUUCUCUCAAAUACCUGUGUCAAAAGAGGAUCAAGAAAAGACCACUUUUACUUGCCCUUUCGGUACCUUUGCUUAUAGACGUAUGCCUUUUGGUUUAUGCAAUGCACCUGCUACCUUUCAAAGAUGCAUGACGGCUAUAUUCUCUGAUUUUUGUGAAAAGAUUGUUGAGGUUUUCAUGGAUGAUUUCUCCGUAUACGGAACUUAUUUUGAUGAUUGCUUGAGCAACCUUGAUCGAGUUUUGCAGAGAUGUGAAAAAACUAAUCUUGUCUUGAAUUGGGAGAAGUGCCACUUUAUGGUUAAUGAAGGUAUUGUCUUGGGGCAUAAAAUUUCUGAAAGAGGUAUUGAAGUUGAUAAAGCUAAAGUUGAUGCUAUUGAAAAGAUGCCAUGUCCCAAGGACAUUAAAGGUAUAAGAAGUUUCCUUGGUCAUGCCGGUUUUUAUAGGAGGUUCAUUAAGGACUUCUCAAAAAUCUCUAGGCCUCUGACUAAUCUCUUACAAAAAGAUGUUCCUUUUAUCUUUGAUGAUGAUUGUGUAGAAGCAUUUCAAAUACUUAAGAAAGCCUUAAUUUCUGCACCUAUUGUUCAGCCACCUGAUUGGAAUUUACCAUUUGAAAUUAUGUGUGAUGCUAGUGAUUGUGCUGUAGGUGUUGUUCUAGGACAAAGAGUUGAUAAGAAAUUAAAUGUUAUCCAAUAUGCCAGUAAAACUCUAAACAAUGCCCAGAGAAAUUAUGCUACUACUGAAAAAGAAUUUUUAGCAGUUGUAUUUGCUUGUGAUAAGUUUCGACCUUAUACUGUUGAUUCUAAAGUGACUGUUCACACUGAUCAUGCUGCUAUUAAAUAUCUUAUGGAAAAGAAAGAUGCUAAACCUAGACUUAUUAGAUGGGUUCUCUUGCUACAAGAAUUUGAUUUGCAUAUUAUUGAUAGAAAGGGAGCUGAGAACCCCGUUGCAGAUAACUUAUCUAGGUUAGAGAAUGUUCUUGAUGACCCAUUACCUAUUGAUGACAGCUUUCCUGAUGAAUAA